rnacentral:rRNA from 1 species
GACGAACGCUGGCGGCGUGCCUAAUACAUGCAAGUCGAGCGAAGUUUUUCUGGUGCUUGCACUAGAAAAACUUAGCGGCGAACGGGUGAGUAACACGUAAAGAACCUGCCUCAUAGACGGGGACAACUAUUGGAAACGAUAGCUAAUACCGGAUAACAGCAUAAAUCGCAUGAUAUAUGUUUAAAAGUUGGUUUCGGCUAACACUAUGAGAUGGCUUUGCGGUGCAUUAGCUAGUUGGUGGGGUAAAGGCCUACCAAGGCGACGAUGCAUAGCCGACCUGAGAGGGUGAUCGGCCACACUGGGACUGAGACACGGCCCAGACUCCUACGGGAGGCAGCAGUAGGGAAUCUUCCGCAAUGGGCGAAAGCCUGACGGAGCAACGCCGCGUGAGUGAAGAAGGAUCUCGGUUCGUAAAGCUCUGUUGUUAGGGAAGAAUGAUUGUAUAGUAACUAUAUACAGUAGAGACGGUACCUAACCAGAAAGCC